AAUUCGAUGAUACGCGAGAAACCUUACCAGGGCUUGACAUAUACAGGAAUGUUGUAGAGAUACAGCAGCCGCUUGCGGUCUGUAUACAGGUGCUGCAUGGCUGUCGUCAGCUCGUGCUGUGAAGUGUUGGGUUAAGUCCCGCAACGAGCGCAACCCUAUCAUCUGUUGCCAGCAUUUAAGGUGGGGACUCAGAUGAGACUGCCGGUGACAAACCGGAGGAAGGUGGGGACGACGUCAAGUCAUCAUGGCCCUUAUGUCCUGGGCUACACACGUGCUACAAUGGCCGGUACAGAGUGAAGCGAAACCGCGAGGUGAAGCAAAACGCAGAAAGCCGGUCUCAGUACGGAUUGGAGUCUGAAACUCGACUUCAUGAAGUUGGAAUCGCUAGUAAUCGCGCAUCAGCAUGGCGCGGUGAAUACGUUCCCGGGCCUU
rnacentral:rRNA from 1 species